GGGGCGGUGGCGCAGUUGGGAGCGCGUUAGACUGAAGUCGCAAACCUCAGUUCCAAUCUUCGGAUUAUCUAAAGGUCACCGGUUCGAUCCCGGUUCACCCCA
rnacentral:tRNA from 1 species